GCCACGGUGGUCUAGCGGUCAGAACACUAGCCUUGUAGGCUUGGGGUCCCGGGUUCAAUUCCCGGUGGUGCUC
rnacentral:tRNA from 1 species